rnacentral:rRNA from 12 species
AAACCAACAGGGAUUGCCUUAGUAACGGCGAGUGAAGCGGCAACAGCUCAAAUUUGAAAUCUGGCCCUUGGGUCCGAAUUGUAAUUUGUAGAGGAUGAUUUUGGUGCGGUAUCUUCCGAGUUCCUUGGAACAGGACGCCUUAGAGGGUGAGAGCCCCGUACGGUUGAAUGCCUAGCCUCUGUAAAUCUCCUUCGACGAGUCGAGUAGUUUGGGAAUGCUGCUCUAAAUGGGAGGUAAAUUUCUUCUAAAGCUAAAUAUUGGCCAGAGACCGAUAGCGCACAAGUAGAGUGAUCGAAAGAUGAAAAGCACUUUGAAAAGAGGGUUAAAUAGCACGUGAAAUUGUUGAAAGGGAAGGAUUUGUGACCAGACUUUUUCUGGGCGGAUCAUCCGGGGUUCUCUCCGGUGCACUUCGCCCAGUAAAGGCCAGCAUCGGUUUUCGGCGUGGGAUAAAAGCAGUAGGAAUGUGGCUCUCUACGGGGAGUGUUAUAGCCUAUUGUAUAAUACCGCGCUGGGGACCGAGGUUCGCGCUUCUGCAAGGAUGCUGGCGUAAUGGUUAUCAAUCACCCGUCUUGAAACACGGACCAAGGAGUCGAACAUUUGUGCGAGUGUUUGGGUGUUAAACCCUCACGCGUAAUGAAAGUGAACGGAGGUGAGAGCCCUUACGGGUGCAUCAUCGACCGAUCCUGAAGUUUUCGGAUGGAUUUGAGUAAGAGCAUAACUGUUCGGACCCGAAAGAUGGUGAACUAUGCGUGGAUAGGGUGAAGCCAGAGGAAACUCUGGUGGAGGCUCGCAGCGGUUCUGACGUGCAAAUCGAUCGUCAAAUCUGCGCAUGGGGGCGAAA